ACGCUGGCGGCGUGCCUAAUACAUGCAAGUAGAACGCUGAAGGAGGAGCUUGCUUCUCCGGAUGAGUUGCGAACGGGUGAGUAACGCGUAGGUAACCUGCCUGGUAGCGGGGGAUAACUAUUGGAAACGAUAGCUAAUACCGCAUAAGAGUAGAUGUUGCAUGACAUUUGCUUAAAAGGUGCAAUUGCAUCACUACCAGAUGGACCUGCGUUGUAUUAGCUAGUUGGUGGGGUAACGGCUCACCAAGGCGACGAUACAUAGCCGACCUGAGAGGGUGAUCGGCCACACUGGGACUGAGACACGGCCCACACUCCUACGGGAGGCAGCAGUAGGGAAUCUUCGGCAAUGGACGGAAGUCUGACCGAGCAACGCCGCGUGAGUGAAGAAGGUUUUCGGAUCGUAAAGCUCUGUUGUAAGAGGAGAACGAGUGUGAGAGUGGAAAGUUCACACUGUGACGGUAUCUUACCAGAAAGGGACGGCUAACUACGUGCCACCAGCCGCGGUAAUACGUAGGUCCCGAGCGUUGUCCGGAUUUAUUGGGCGUAAAGCGAGCGCAGGCGGUUAGAUAAGUCUGAAGUUAAAGGCUGUGGCUUAACCAUAGUACGCUUUGGAAACUGUUUAACUUGAGUGCAAGAGGGGAGAGUGGAAUUCCAUGUGUAGCGGUGAAAUGCGUUGAUAUAUGGAGGAACACCGGUGGCGAAAGCGGCUCUCUGGCUUGUAACUGACGCUGAGGCUCGAAAGCGUGGGGAGCAAACAGGAUUAGAUACCCUGGUAGUCCACGCCGUAAACGAUGAGUGCUAGGUGUUAGACCCUUUCCGGGGUUUAGUGCCGCAGCUAACGCAUUAAGCACUCCGCCUGGGGAGUACGACCGCAAGGUUGAAACUCAAAGGAAUUGACGGGGGCCCGCACA
rnacentral:rRNA from 1 species